UUCUUCCCAACCCCAGUUUUCUCAGUCCAACCUAAUUCAAGUGUUCUGCAGUGACCUUGUGUUCAAAGACGUUUAGAUGAUGUGCACAACAUUCCUGUCUCAUCGGUGAUUGCUAAUCCUGAGGCAGCGCACCUACUGGCCCUCCACUACCCACUUGGCCUCACCCAGAGCAGGACUCUCAUUCCAUGCAGAUUUGCACUAGGACACCAACCCACUGGCCCAAAUCCCAGGCACCACACACACGCAUCUGUCCUGAGCUGAGCCAGAGAGAUUCUCUUGCUUGGAUAUUUUGGAGUUGGGAUAAAGAGAAGACUGGUCUGUCUUUCCAAGCUAGGAAACACAGAAUGGUCAGGGCUGGGGAGUUCUGCCUGUUUACAGGCUGUCAUGAGGUGGGAGGAAAAAUAGCCUUUUAGACACAGGAUGAAAGGGUACGGAGAGCACGAGUUCGGGAGAUAGAGCCUGGGACUUCCAGGUUCUGUUAGCUUUCAAUUCCUGGCUCCAUCCCAGCUGUCCUUUGUGUGUUGGUUUCUAUGUGAUGUUCCCUUAAACUUGAAUAAAUUUUCUGAUUUUGCUCAUGGUAAUUUGGAGUAGUUUCCUGUUCAUUUAUAACCAAAUGAACUUGGAAUAAGGUGCAACCAGGAAAUGAAGCUGCACUUGACCACAUAGCUGACCCAUUUCAGGGGUGGGGACACUUGGAUUCCAUGAUGCUGGAACAGAAAGCUGGCCAUCGGUGACCAUCAGACUGAAAUCACUAGUGAAAUGAGUGUUGGAUGGGUUUUGGAUCUUGGAGAAUUUUUCUAAUGAGACUGAGGCAUUAGGGGCUCAGAAGGUCAGGAUGAAGGAUGUCAGGUUGUGCUGGAGACCCCCUGGGGCUUCAGCAAGGUGCCCGGGGAAGUGUCAAGUUUGAGACUGUCACUGCAAAAGGAUAUCGACAAUCAGGUCAGUUAUGCAACCCUGCUCCUGAAGGCCUCUCUGCUCAUGGUAUAGGAUCGGAGACCACAGAGAGUCCAUCCUAGAAGGUAAUCACAGGACUGACUGAGCUGCAGCUGUUACACUCUGCAGCAACCUACAUCCAGAACUAAAAUUGGCACGCCAAUUAUGAAACAGGGAGGUUCUGGCAAUUGGAACAAGGACACCCAGGAAGGGCUGGGGGAACUGGGGAACCCUGAUCCUUCCCAUGUGCUUCCGACGCCUUCUGUGGUGUCCUCCCGCAAGACCAGGGUGGGAUGCCUCUCGCCAUGGACUGUACUUUAGGACCUGGUUUGGGAAGCUCACAGAGCCAACCCGGCAGAGGCAGAAUUUCUUUGCUGGUGUCCUCCACACCCGAAGGCAAAAUUCAUUAGGCAGGGAACUCGGGCACAGCCCUCCAGCUUCCUUCUAAGAACUGAAGCCCACAGGCACAGCCCAGCUCUGGCUGUCCUGCUUAGCAAGCUGUCUGGAGACGGCUUUGAGCAAACGCAGACUCCCUAAAUUAAAUCGACGGGCUGCCAGUUAAGAUUUUACAGGUUUUUUUGUUGCCAAGAAAACCGUAGCCUGGACAACAGGGUCUUUAGAUGGACACAACUGCACUGCUAGGCAUUUUGGGCCUUUGGGAGAGCACAGGCCCAGUCCUGGAGGCUGCCAGCUCCCUGCAGAAGGAGUCAGGAAACCACAGCCAGUUAAUUCUGCCCCAAAGUUGCCCCAGGGUGGCUGUGAAGGACCCUGGAGAAGGGCAAUAUCUUUAUGGACAGAAGAUGGACUGGCACCACUGGCUACCAAGGGACCCGCUCCAGGUGCCAGCAGGGGUCAACAUGCAGACGGCCAUGAGCUUUGUCAGGUGUCCUGCCAGAGCUAAUGUGCACCUCAAGUUGGUGACCAACGCGUGGCUGUGGGCCUGGAGUUGCCUCUUUUGUUUUUAAGUGGGAAGGCGAUAUGGCUGUGUCCAGCCUUCCUCCUAGGGUUCCCAGCAGGUGGGACUCAGGGUGGGUGGUUGCAUUUCCUCUACAGGCUGGAUGAGUUUCUCCUGGAGGAGAAAGGGGCCUUGCCUGGGACCCAAGCCUCACCUCUGUGUGCAACAGGAGCCGAGGAGGAGCAGGUGUCGGCAGGUAGAAAUGCACAUGGGCCCUUCUGCCGUGGACCUUGGUAUGGAAACCUGGCCCAUGCAGGGCUGGAAGAUUUUAUUUUUCUGGGAAUUUUGAAUCGGAUCUAGGAGACAGCAAAUGGAUUUCUCUGUGUGGCCUGACUACAAAGAUGCCAGUGCCUCUACUUAGCAGUGGCAGCCAUGGGCACAAACAGCAGAAAGGUGGUCUGCAGAGAAGCAGGCGUCUCUGCCAAGCGGGCCGGGGUGGGCUGGGGGGCGAGAGAGAUGCAGAGCUGCUUCGUGAUUGCUUGCCUGACUCAUUUCUGGGGUGGAACCAUCUUUGGGUUCCAUGAAAUAGUCUCGACUCCUUUUUUUACUUUUUCUUUUUUGGUAACUGUCUAUAUUGAAAUCAUCAUAGAUUCAGAAGGACUUGCAAAGAUAGUACAGAGAGGCCCCAUGUUCCCUACUCUCAGUUUCCCCCAGGGUUGCAAUUUAGGUAACUGCAGUACCAUGUCAGGACUAGGAGCCCACAGUGGUAGAGUGCGUCCUGGGCCAUUUCAGGCCCCACAUUGAUUUGUGUAGACGCCGCCACCCUCAAGAUGCAAAACUGCUCCGUCCCAGGAGGAUUCCUUUAUCUGAUACCUCUUUAGUCUCCCUCUGCCCCCAUUCCUAAGCCCUGAUAAUUACCAAUCUGUUUCUCACCUCUGUCAUCUCGUCUUUUUGUGACUGUUCUAUCCAUGGAAUCAAAUAGCUUGUAACCCUUUGAGACAGGCCGUCCUCCCCCCACCCCCCGCAUAACUCCCAAAGAUCAUUCAAGUCACUGCAGCAGGAGUCUAUUCCUUUUUAAGGCCCAUCGGUAAGUAUCCGUGGUGUGGAUCUACUGUUUGUGUAGCCGUUCACCUCUUGAGGGCCUUCUGGAUUAUUUCCUGUUUGGGGCUAUUAUGAAUAAAACUGCUCUAACAUUUGUACACAGAUUUUUGUGUGGAUAUGAGUUUUCAUUUCCCCGGGAACAAUGCUGAGGAGAGCAAUUGCCUGGUCCCCUGGUGUUGUGGUUUGGAUCUGAGAUGUCCUCCAAAGCUUCCUGUGUGGAAGGCUUGGUCCCCAGCUGGUGGCAUUAUUGGAAGCUGCUGCAGGGAGGUAAGCAGCUCUGCUCCACCCUGGCCCUGCGCCAUGAUGAUCCACUUCACCACAUGCCCGGAGACAAUGGGGCCAGCCAACCAUGGAUGGAAUCCUUUUGAAACCAUGAGCCAAAGUAAACCUUUCAUUCUUUUAAGUUAUCUCAGGUAUUUUGUCACUGCAGUGAAAAGCUGACAAACACAUCUGGUAAGUGUGUGUUAAUCUGCCAAACUGUUUUCUGGAGUACCAUUUUCCACUCCCUCCAGCAACAUCUCACUGAUCUAGUUUCUCUGCACACUCACUAGCAUUUGGUGUUGCAACUACUUUUAUUUUACUCUUUUAAUAAGUAUGUUGUGAUUGCUCCCAGAGACUUACACUUGUAUUUCCCUUACUGGCGUGUUGUUGAAUACCUUCUCAUGUGUGUAUAUGCUAUCUGUAUAUUCUCAUUGAUAAAACCUCUCUUCAUAUCCACUGUCCAUUUUCUAAUAGGAUUGUGUAUUUUUAAAUGUUUUACUGUUAAAUUUUAAUAUAAACUUUUCUUAAAAAAACAAAUUUGAAAUGGGCUUCUGCUACUUGCACGACUGAGACUUAUGGGUAGUCUGUGUUGUACUUAAUGACAAUCACAGUAAUGGCUGACAUUUAUUAAGCCUGUAGUUGUGCCAGGCACUGUUCUCUAGUGACAUCCAGGUCUUAGCUUACUUGAUAAAUGUUUUGUUUUUCUAAGCAGAGUAUAUUUUGUUAUAAACAUUAUCUGCCAAUGCAAUUUAGUUUACAAAUCUAAUCGUUGGCAUAAACAAACAGCACGGACAAUACACAUUGCUUAAAUUCUAAUUGACUGCAUUUAUUUGUGUCUCAAUUUACUGAGAGAAAUGUAAGCCACUGGCGUCGCAGGGGCUUCUGAGUCAGUGAAAUAAGCAUUCAUGUUUCAAAAAGUGACGUCAUGUGUACAUGUUUUUCCUUAGUGUUAAGUAAAUUCCUGAGAAUUGUCAGUUCAACUAAUUCUACAUAAAUCCCCCAAACCUUUGUCUCCUCCUAAAGUAAAGGCAGAAAAUAAA